rnacentral:rRNA from 1 species
GGCCGCGGGAAUUCGAUUCAGGCCUAACACAUGCAAGUCGAGGGGCAGCAUAAUGAAGUAGCAAUACGGAAUUGAUGGCGACCGGCGCGCGGGUGCGUAACGCGUAUGCAACCUACCCAUAACAGGGGGAUAACACUGAGAAAUUGGUACUAAUACCCCAUAAUAGUUUAAAAGGCAUCUUUUAGAUUUGAAAGUUCAGGCGGUUAUGGAUGGGCAUGCGUUGUAUUAGCUAGAUGGUGAGGUAACGGCUCACCAUGGCUACGAUACAUAGGGGGACUGAGAGGUUAACCCCCCACACUGGUACUGAGACACGGACCAGACUCCUACGGGAGGCAGCAGUGAGGAAUAUUGGUCAAUGGACGCAAGUCUGA